rnacentral:rRNA from 1 species
GAUGAACGCUGGCGGCGUGCUUAACACAUGCAAGUCGAACGAAGCACCUUAUUCUGAUUUCUUCGGAAUGAAAAAUUUGGUGACUGAGUGGCGGACGGGUGAGUAACGCGUGGGUAACCUGCCUCAUACAGGGGGAUAACAGUUAGAAAUGACUGCUAAUACCGCAUAAGACCACAGCACCGCAUGGUGCAGGGGUAAAAACUCCGGUGGUAUGAGAUGGACCCGCGUCUGAUUAGGUAGUUGGUGGGGUAACGGCCUACCAAGCCGACGAUCAGUAGCCGACCUGAGAGGGUGACCGGCCACAUUGGGACUGAGACACGGCCCAAACUCCUACGGGAGGCAGCAGUGGGGAAUAUUGCACAAUGGGGGAAACCCUGAUGCAGCGACGCCGCGUGAGCGAUGAAGUAUUUCGGUAUGUAAAGCUCUAUCAGCAGGGAAGAAAAUGACGGUACCUGACUAAGAAGCACCGGCUAAAUACGUGCCAGCCGCCGCGGUAA